rnacentral:rRNA from 1 species
GAUGAACGCUGACAGAAUGCUUAACACAUGCAAGUCUUUGGCGAAGCUGUGCUUGCACAGCCUAGCCAAGGCGGACGGGUGAGUAACGCGUAAGGAACUUGCCCUGCAGUCAGGGAUAACAGACGGAAACGACUGAUAAGACCUGGUAAAGUCAGGCGGACUCAUGUCCAGCCUGAUGAAAAGAGAUGCUGCAGGAGAGCCUUGCGUCCUAUUAGCUUGUUGGUGGGGUAACGGCCCACCAAGGCGAUGAUAGGUAGCCGGCCUGAGAGGGUGGACGGCCACAAGGGGACUGAGAUACGGCCCUUACUCCUACGGGAGGCAGCAGUGGGGAAUAUUGGACAAUGGGGGCAACCCUGAUCCAGCAAUUCUGUGUGCACGAUGAAGUUUUUCGGAUUGUAAAGUGCUUUCAGCAGGGAAGAAAAAAAUGACGGUACCUGCAGAAGAAGCGACGGCUAACUACGUG